ensembl:lncRNA
CGUGGGGGGGGGGGGCAGGGAGGGGGCGGCGCCAUCUUGGGGAGGUCGCCGCGCGCCUCAGGGAGGCGGGCGGGAAAGCCCUGAGGGGGAGCCGGGGUAUGGCUGCCCGCGGUGAGGCGGCCCCGGCCAUCCCCGUGGCGUUUUGCUGUCAAAAAACAAAAAAGCACGUUUCGCAACGUUUUGGCCCGCCGCUCGGGCGUCCCUUCCCACCUCCACCACCCCCAAACCCUAGUUCGGUGGUAGGAGAAGCCAUAUUGCUGAGCUAAUCCGGGUUUAAAAAUAACGCAAAAUAACACGAAGCUGCUCUUUCUGAUACAUGAGGUCUAACAUUUUCUUGUAUUGUCACAUCAGGGCUCAGAGACCUGUACUGGGACCGCGGCCCUGUCACAGGAAGGUGUCCGCGUUCGAGGGCAGCCUGUGGUUUCAGUGGGAACCUGAAGUGUAAAGCACUUAAAAUACAGGAAAAAGGAAAAAAUAGCACAAAAAAUAGUACAAAAUAGUAAAAAUAGAUACAAGUGUGAUUUACAGGAGGGAGUCUUAAGGAGGGGCUUCACACUGAUGCACCGAAACCGACAAAUUGAAGAUGUGUUCUCCUCAACUAAAGAAUGGCGUGGAAAGUGCAGCGUGGACGGGUGCUCAAGAGAAAAGUUAAGCUGGUUUACAGCAGCCUGGAAAGCAAAAUAUUUUCAGUAAUGUUCCUUCCAUAAAGAUCUUAGAUGUAUGUUAAGCGCUCCACUAGAGACCUGACAGGUCAAAAAUUCAGUAGGCUUUUAUAUUACAGCAAUCAUGGUUUUAUUUUUGUUGCAUAUACAUUUUUUUUUUAAUUUCAGGACGUCAGCCUACCAUCUGUGCCUAGUAGAAACCUCUUCCAUGGGGCAGGAAGUUAUGACCGCACUACGACCAUCUGAAGAUGCAAGAAUAUGGAAAGCACAGGACGAAAACCUCUCAGAGACGUGCCUCGUCUGCAGAGCCAGCCGAGGCAAUUGGCAUGCGUGUCAGGUGCUGCGGUGGGGUCAAUGCACAAAUACGAGCCCAAGGUCAGCCUCCAGUGAAGACCAGCUCAAUCGACAUUACUCCCAUCAGCUGAGCCCCUGUGGGGAGGAGAAAGACAAUUUCUUCAAGAAGUGUUUUGGAGAGACAGGUGUAGCUUUAGGACUUGCUGAACACACCAACGUGCUUGUUUCAUGACAGCAGACAUUACAAGGAACAAGAGCCUGUUAUCUCACUGGGUUUAUACAGGAAGGUUGGUCUCUGGCGUGCUGGAGAUGAAGGAGCUGCACGUGGUUGUGUAGCGGAAGACGUGCUCCUGGCAGCAGCUCUGUUCUGUUUCCUACAAAAUGUCCUAGCUGCCUCAGAGUUAAAAAAUCUGCUGCUGCCUGCUGGCACUUCCUAGCUGCCUGUGCUUGCAAGCGGUAUGAGGAGGAAACCCAGCCACUGUGCAUCUUGUAUCAUCAGGAGAGAAAAAGCGAGAUCCGUCUUUUUUCUUGCCCGUGGAGUUUUCAUGCCUCUUAAGCCCACAGAAGAGAAAAGCAAUUGAUUCACCCACUGUGCUGUCAACAAACACCCUGAUGAUUUAGCGGUUUUGUAACUGAGCAGUUUUUAAACAUUCACAGUGCAGACUGAGGAGGAAAACUACAGACACAGCUGCGUGGCUUUUUCCUUUUCUCUCUUUUUCAGAUUAAAAAAAAAAAAUGAUGCAGCCAUUGCUUUCCUUUAAUAUGAGUCUUUGCAACAGUGAUUGUUCAGUAAUGUGCAAUAAAACAGAUUUGCACAGCUCA